rnacentral:rRNA from 1 species
ACUGAAUAGAUACCCCGGUAGUCCACGCCCUAAACGAUGUCUACUAGUUGUUGGUGGAGUAAAAUCCAUGAGUAAACGCAGCUAAACGCGUGAAGUAGACCGCCUGGGGAGUACGGUCGCAAGAUUAAAAACUCAAAGGAAUUGACGGGGGCCCGCACAAGCGGUGGAUUAUGUGGAUUAAAUUCGAUGCAACGCGAAAAACCUUACCUGGCCUUGACAUGCCACUAACGAAGCAGAGAUGCAUUAGGUGCCCGUAAGGGAAAGUGGACACAGGUGCUGCAUGGCUGUCGUCAGCUCGUGUCGUGAGAUGUUGGGUUAAGUCCCGCAACGAGCGCAACCCUUGCCAUUAAUUGCCAUCAUUUAGUUGGGCACUUUAAUGGGACUGCCGGUGACAAACCGGAGGAAGGUGGGGAUGACGUCAAGUCCCCAUGGCCCUUAUGGCCAGGGCUUCACACGUAAUACAAUGGUCGGUACAGAGAGUUGCCAACCCGCGAGGGGGUAGCUAAUCUCAGAAAG